AGCCACGCAAUGAGCACAUGGCGAACUAUUCUUUUGCCUUUUAUUAAAGAAUUAAAGAAUAUUGUGUGCGUGCAAUAAGUGGCAUAUCUCAAUUUUUAGAGGGAUUUCUUCAUCGAGUGCC